AACGUAGGAGACAAACGUUAUCCGGAGUUACUGGGCGUAAAGGGCGUGUAGGUGGUUUCGUAAGUCUGGCGUGAAAUUUUUCGGCUUAACCGGGAAAGGUCGUCGGAUACUGCGGGACUAGAGGACGGUAGAGGCGUGUGGAAUUCCGGGUGUAGUGGUGAAAUGCGUAGAUAUCGAGAGGAACACCUGCGGCGAAGGCGGGUUGCUGGGCUGACACUGACGCUGAGGUGCGAAAGCGUGGGGAGCAAACAGG
rnacentral:rRNA from 1 species